rnacentral:rRNA from 1 species
GACGAACGCUGGCGGCGUGCCUAAUACAUGCAAGUUGAGCGAUGAAGAUUGGUGCUUGCACCAAUUUGAAGAGCAGCGAACGGGUGAGUAACGCGUGGGGAAUCUGCCUUUGAGCGGGGGACAACAUUUGGAAACGAAUGCUAAUACCGCAUAAUAACUUUAAACAUAAGUUUUAAGUUUGAAAGAUGCAAUUGCAUCACUCAAAGAUGAUCCCGCGUUGUAUUAGCUAGUUGGUGAGGUAAAGGCUCACCAAGGCGAUGAUACAUAGCCGACCUGAGAGGGUGAUCGGCCACAUUGGGACUGAGACACGGCCCAAACUCCUACGGGAGGCAGCAGUAGGGAAUCUUCGGCAAUGGACGAAAGUCUGACCGAGCAACGCCGCGGGAGUGAAGAAGGUUUUCGGAUCGUAAAACUCGGUUGGUAGAGAAGAACGUUGGUGAGAGUGGAAAGCUCAUCAAGUGACGGUAACUACCCAGAAAGGGACGGCUAACUACGUG